UGUAUUGCCACGCUCAGUGCUCCUGGUAAUCAGAUAGAUAUCCAGCCCCGUUAGCGGUCUUGAAACCUUGGCCUAACAGUGACAGCGGAGCUACAGUUUCUCAGCACAAUGCAUCAUCUUUAACAUUGCUUUCCAGACAGAGCAGCUGGUCCCCAGAGCACUCAGUGGACGAAUGAAAUAUAAGCUCAGCGAUCAUUACACGUAUGCCUCUCCAGCUAAGUUGUGCAGAGAUUUCCACUGAGCUGCAUAAAACAACCCCUGGUCCCUUUCUUGGCUGGACAGAUGCAUAGAUUAAUUUUAAGUAGAUCUGGGUUUAGCUCCACAUGUUAAAUAAACAUUUCUUUCUCCAGUGCUUUGUC